UACGGGGGGAGCAAGCGUUGUUCGGAUUUACUGGGCGUAAAGGGCGCGUAGGCGGUCAGCACAAGUCAGUUGUGAAAUCUCCGGGCUUAACUCGGAAAGGUCAACUGAUACUGUGCGACUAGAGUGCAGAAGGGGCAACUGGAAUUCUCGGUGUAGCGGUGAAAUGCGUAGAUAUCCGGAAGAACACCGGUGGCGAAGGCGGCCUGCUGGGCAGUAGCCGACGCUGAGGCGCGAAAGCGUGGGGAGCAAACAGG
rnacentral:rRNA from 1 species